ensembl:lncRNA
UUUAUUUUUUUACAAUACAGCAAAAAGCCAGGUAUUUAUCAGUUGAAAUGGACACACGGUAUGCAGUUAGUUAAUUCAAUUUUCAAUUCAAUUCAAUUUUAUUUAUAUAGUGCCAAUUACAGUCAAAUUGUCUCAGGAUGCUUUACAGUUAGCUCGCAGAUCUGAAAAGAGUACAGGUGUUUUAGGGCUGAAAGCUGAAUCAUUUUCUGAACACUAUUCACAUGAAAUGGUAACUUCAAAUGAAAAAAGAAGAAAAUCACAGACAUAGUCCUUAAUAAUGGCAUAGGUUCAUUUCUACAGAUUUAGUUCUAUGGUUUGCCCAUUUUUUAUAAAGCAAACAAAUUAUUCCAUACUGUACAUUCAUAGUAAGGGUGGCUGUGGCUCAGGUGGAGAGCUGGUUGUCCACCGAUCAACAUGUGGCGGGGCCAGGAAUUGAGCUGCCAACCUUGCAAAGUGUCCUUGGGCAAGACACUGAAACCCAAGUUGCUCUCAAUGGCAGGCAGGCACCUUGCAUGGCAGCUCUGUCACCAUUGGUAUGUGUGUGUGAAUGGGUAAAUGGGAAACAUUGUAAAGUGCUUUGCAUACCUCUAAGGUAGAAAGGCUCUAUAUAAAUGCAAACCAUUCAUUUAACAUUUAAAUGCUAGUGUACACAAUACUUGGCUACACAAAAGCCCUUAUACUUUCUGUACUGAAUCUCUGAGACAAUAACAAUAUACCAUCUAUCAGUGACAAACAUUUAUCGUCUGUUUUUACUAAUAAGCCCCUUUACCAACAAAGCCACAGCUUUAAUUUUUUUUUCUAGUAGCCCCAUGAGAUGGAAUUGACUGUGGUUAUGCACUACAUCGGUUCCCUUUGCCAGGAGGUGAAACCUUAUCUAGCCAGGACCUCUGAAGCUCAUUCACACAUUCACGAAAUGGCAUACCUCAUUUGUCCUAUACCACUAAAAGAAUUAUCACCUUUGUGCAGUGGAAGGUUUAGUGUGUCCUCAUGAUUCUGGGAGCUAUGUUGCAGGAAGUGCUAGCCCUUUGAAUGGGCUCCCUAGGCAAAUUGGUUCUAGGGGAGAGACAAUGAGAGCUCACCACAGAGCUAAGUACAAGUGUAUGUCUGGUGGCCAAGCCUUGAACCAUGACAAAGGGGAGAAACGAUUCAGGGAUUCCAGUUAAUAUGCCAAAACAGAGCUGCAGCAACUCACUCUGAUUAGAAAUCAGGGUUCCCUUCUGGCACCAGUCCUGGGAGGGGAACUGGCUGGCAAGUGUUUGUCAGGGCCCUCUCCCUGGUCCCUGCAUCAGCCCCCACCUAACCUCCCUUUAUUCUCCCUGUCCCUCCUUUUUCUGUUUCUCCCCAGUUCUACCUCUUCAUUCUCCCUCCCUCUCUAUUCCACCUACACCUCACUCUCGCUCUCCUGUGCCACUCUCUACAGUGGCUGUAACCAAUUAUUCCCUCAUCAGCAGUAACUCCAGGCAGCUGUGGCGCUGUGCUCUGGUCUCAUCACCUCUGCAAUAAAAGCCGGCUUCGCACUCAACCCUCUGCUAGAUUGUAGCUUCUGCUUACGCAUUCUGCUGGUCAUGCUGCCUGUGCGUUCUGCUGGAACUAUCCUGCCAAACCUCUGGCAAGGUCCUGUCAAGCCUCUGUAGUAUCCUGCCAUGUCCUGUCCACGUUGCAGCCACGCUCCCCUUCUAAAGAGUGUACCGGCUCCCACCUGGCCCAACUCCGAUCUGUCACUGCACUCUCCACCACCAACUCCCCCUGUCCAGCGGUGACACCUCUGGAUCACCAGUCCCCAGGAGCCAGCCGUCCCCCCUUCCUUCCAGCUGGUAGUGAGUUUAGUUCAGUUUCUCCCUCACUCUGGCUAUCCUCUAGUUCUAGCUUUAGUUCUAGUUAGUUCCCUCACCCAAUUUGUUUUUUCCUGUUCUUUUGUAAAUAAAAUUCUGUUAUCCCUGUCACCGGUGUCUGUUGUGCUGCGUGCUCUCUGCUUGGGUUCUCAUUGGCGCUGUGAUAGUUUGGUGGCUGUGCCUAGGCACAGCCUGCAAAAAAGUUGCAUUAAGCCACCACCCAGUACACCUACCAUAUGCAAGGAUAAGAGCUGGGGUCAGGUGCACUGCAAGCUGAGCGGUAUGCUGACUCUCAACAGCACAAACUAGUUCUGGGGAUGUGGAACAUCACCUCUCUGAUGGGAAGACACUGGAGAUGGUGUGGCUGGUGGGACAGUACCAGCUAGAUAUAGCUGGGCUCAUCCCCACACAUAGCAGAGGUUCUGGGGGCUGGGCUCUCUCCUUUCUGAGUUGAACUGGGUGAUAGAUGCCAGAGGGUGUGGGAGAAAUAACAAGUCCCUAGCUGAGCAAUGUUGUGCUCAAAAUCUCCCUGGUGAGAGGGUUUGCCUCUUUGUGACAAUAGGUCACUGAGGAGCGUGCACUGACUGUUGUCAGUGCUUAGGCACCAUACAACACUUCAUCUGCUGCAACAUCUUCGAUUCUUUGGGUGACGUUCUGGAAGGGAUUCUGCAAGCGGUCUCCAUAGUUCUAUUGGAAGAUUUCAGUGCUCACGUGGGCAGUGGUGGAGAAACCUGGAGUGAAGCAGAGUAGUGUUUUUACUUAAUGCUAUAACAGCAUAGGGUAGCUCACAAGGAUACUAAGUAACAGAGCUGACAGGCCAAUCUGACAAUCGACUUUGUGCUCGUAUAAUCAGACCUGUGUCUGUACUAGUAU